rnacentral:rRNA from 1 species
GAACGGGUGAGUAACACGUGGGUGAUCUGCCCUGCACUUUGGGAUAAGCCUGGGAAACUGGGUCUAAUACCGAAUAGGACCACGCGCUUCAUGGUGUGUGGUGGAAAGCUUUUGCGGUGUGGGAUGGGCCCGCGGCCUAUCAGCUUGUUGGUGGGGUAAUGGCCUACCAAGGCGACGACGGGUAGCCGGCCUGAGAGGGUGACCGGCCACACUGGGACUGAGAUACGGCCCAGACUCCUACGGGAGGCAGCAGUGGGGAAUAUUGCACAAUGGGCGCAAGCCUGAUGCAGCGACGCCGCGUGAGGGAUGACGGCCUUCGGGUUGUAAACCUCUUUCAAUAGGGACGAAGCGCAAGUGACGGUACCUAUAGAAGAAGCACCGGCCAACUACGUGCCAGCAGCCGCGGUAAUACGUAGGGUGCGAGCGUUGUCCGGAAUUACUGGGCGUAAAGAGCUCGUAGGUGGUUUGUCGCGUUGUUCGUGAAAACUCACAGCUUAACUGUGGGCGUGCGGGCGAUACGGGCAGACUAGAGUACUGCAGGGGAGACUGGAAUUCCUGGUGUAGCGGUGGAAUGCGCAGAUAUCAGGAGGAACACCGGUGGCGAAGGCGGGUCUCUGGGCAGUAACUGACGCUGAGGAGCGAAAGCGUGGGGAGCGAACAGGAUUAGAUACCCUGGUAGUCCACGCCGUAAACGGUGGGUACUAGGUGUGGGUCCNUUCCU